AUUGAACGCUGGCGGCACGCCUUACACAUGCAAGUCGAACGGCAGCGGGGGAGAAGCUUGCUUUUCCUGCCGGCGAGUGGCGAACGGGUGAGUAAUACAUCGGAACGUGCCCUGUAGUGGGGAAUAACUAGUCGAAAGAUUAGCUAAUACCGCAUACGACCUGAGGGUGAAAGUGGGGGACCGCAAGGCCUCAUGCUAUAGGAGCGGCCGAUGGCUGAUUAGCUAGUUGGUGGGGUAAAGGCCUACCAAGGCGACGAUCAGUAGCUGGUCUGGGAGGACGAUCAGCCACACUGUGACUGAGACACGGCCCAGACUCCUACGGGAGGCAGCAGUGGGGAAUUUUGGACAAUGGGCGAAAGCCUGAUCCAGCAAUGCCGCGUGUGUGAAGAAGGCCUUCGGGUUGUAAAGCACCUUUGUCCGGAAAGAAAUGGCUCUGGUUAAUACCUGGGGUCGAUGACGGUACCGGAAGAAUAAGGACCGGCUAACUACGUGCCAGCAGCAGCCGCGG
rnacentral:rRNA from 1 species